rnacentral:misc_RNA from 1 species
AUAUUGGUAUUUUCAUGUUUGACAAAAUGCAUGUGCACAAAUGUUAUGUUUAUUCUUUAAAUUUCAAUCUUAAUUCAUAACUUUCCCUUGAGAUUCUUGUGUCAAUAGCAUCUUUUGCCUUGAAAUGCUGGUUUAGUUAUUCGAUAUUCGUUGUUGAAACUGAUCAUGGUUAAUUUUUAUCCAUUGUCCUUCAACUUUGAAGGUUGUUUCACUUCCAUUCCUUAACUUUAAACUCUCAUAAAAAUCACUAAACUUCAUUUUUGUUGCAAAAAAACCCUUCCCACCUGAUCUCGGUACUUGCUCUGACCAGAAUGUUGAUGUCGCGUGUCCAG